GACGAACGCUGGCGGCGUGCUUAACACAUGCAAGUCGAACGGAAAGGCCCUGCUUUUGUGGGGUGCUCGAGUGGCGAACGGGUGAGUAACACGUGAGUAACCUGCCCUUGACUUUGGGAUAACUUCAGGAAACUGGGGCUAAUACCGGAUAGGAGCUCCUGCUGCAUGGUGGGGGUUGGAAAGUUUCGGCGGUUGGGGAUGGACUCGCGGCUUAUCAGCUUGUUGGUGGGGUAGUGGCUUACCAAGGCUUUGACGGGUAGCCGGCCUGAGAGGGUGACCGGCCAAAUUGGGACUGGGAUAAGGGCCAGACUCCUACGGGAGGCAGGAGUGGGGAAUAUUGGAAAAAGGGCGGAAGCCUGAUGCAGCAACGCCGCGUGCGGGAUGACGGCCUUCGGGUUGUAAACCGCUUUCGCCUGUGACGAAGCGUGAGUGACGGUAAUGGGUAAAGAAGCACCGGCUAACUACGUG
rnacentral:rRNA from 1 species